rnacentral:misc_RNA from 1 species
UUUCCGGAGGUGAACCUGCGGAAGGAUCAUUAUUGUAUAACCGAGGUGCGAGGGCUGUCGCUGACCCGAAAGGUCGUGCACGCCCGAGUGCCCUCACACACAUCCAUCUCACCCCUAUGUGCACCACCGCGUGGGUCCCCCUUUGGCUUGUUCGGAGGGGGGCUUACGUUUUCACACAGACUUUGUAUGCAGUGUAGAAUGUAUUUUUUGUUUUUGCGAUCACGCAAUCAAUACAACUUUCAACAACGGAUCUCUUGGCUCUC